UCCUUCGUAUUCAUUCCUUAUUAAAUUGUGGAAAUGAUCUGUCUACGUGGAUUACCGCAUGACGGGUGAAAAUCCAUUUGCAGUUUCAUAUAUUCUAUGAUACUCAUUUGGUUAAAGUUUUGGCUUCUAUACUCCAUGAAAUUAGUAGAAUAUCCUGGAUAUUUGCGCUUCAUCCGGUAUCUUUUCAUGGAAAUAUUCUUCUGAGCAUUCUUGAAUUUUACUCCACAAAGCAGUAUC
rnacentral:lncRNA from 1 species